UAUAGGGUCACAUUUGGAGGAGCCGGCUCCGUCGGGGGCAGGAGGGAGGAAGUGGUGGGGAGGCUCAGGGUGUGUCAGAUCCAGCCUCCCCACCUCUGCUGAGCUGGCGGCUGGACUCAAGGCCUGCCACGUCUUCCUGCUCUGCAGUGCACUAGCUGUGUGACCUUCUGCAAACUGGGUAACCACACUGCCUCCCCACCCCAUCUCCUCCAAGGUAAAGUGGAGAUUUUACCUGCUGCAAAAAGUUGGGUGAGGACUGAUGAGAGAAUGAGGGUUGAUAAGAGAAGCAACCAUACAGCAUUGAAAGCGAAGCCUUAUCCAUCAUCCACGUCAAAGGGGCUGGAAAGGUCCGAAUCCACCUGAAUGACAACUAAAGUUUCGAGAAUGGGAAUGCAAAAGGGGAUUCAAAGCCACCUGCAUUCCUCGGCCCAUGGCCCCUUCUACCAUCUUUGAAGGCAGCAGCAUAGCACAUCUUCGAAUCUCUCUCUGGCCCUGAAACUCUUGUCUGUGUCUUAUGAGGACCCUUGUGACUACAUUGAGCCCACCCAGAUAAUCCAGGAUAAUCUUCCAGCCUCAAGAUCCUUAACUCAAUCACAUCUGCCAAGUCCCUUUUGCCAUAUAAGAUGCUGUGCCCAUAAAGGCAGCCUGGUGUCUGGAGAUAACCUCACUACACAGUGCCUGAUACAGUGUCUGCUACAUUGUCAUGCUCAAUAGUGUUCCUUUAAUUUUCCUUAGGAGAGCCAUAAGAGCUGAAAGACUAGAUUCAAGGAUCAAGUAUUUAUUGAUUACCUACUAUGUACCAGACCCUGGGCUGGGCCCCGAAGACACAGCAAUGAUGAGACAGGCACAGCUAUGCACCCACAGUAUCUUCCACCAAGCCUGGCUCAUCACACACUUAAGCUGAGGUUAAUCAGAAUUUUUGGCAUCUUUUACAAGCAGCCCUGGUAUCUAGAUGGUAUACACCUGUACAGACAUACUGCUUGGUAAAAUAUUGAAAUAUUUUGUACUACUUGAUAAACAGUCACUGCCUAAGUCUCCGGGGUAUCUCACCACUACCCCCACCCUGCCCUGACCCCACUCUCAGGAACCCCAA
rnacentral:lncRNA from 10 species